AUUGAACGCUGGCGGCAGGCUUAACACAUGCAAGUCGAGCGAGCGGCGGACGGGUGAGUAAUGUAUGGGAAACUGCCUGAUGGAGGGGGAUAACUACUGGAAACGGUAGCUAAUACCGCAUACCAUAAGAUGUACCCAGAUGGGAUUAGCUAGUGGGUGGGGAAAUGGAUCACCUAGGAGACGAUCCCUAGCUGGUCUGAGAGGAUGACCAGCAACCCUGGAACGGAGACACGGUCCAGACUCUUACGGGAGGCAGCAGUGGGGAAUAUUGCACAAUGGGGGCAAGCCUGAUGCAGCCAUGCCGCGUGUGUGAGGAAGGCCUUCGGGUUGUAAAGCACUUUCAGCGUGGAGGCGGUACUCGCAGAAGAAGCACCGGCUAACUCCGUGCCAGCAGCCGCGGUAAUUC
rnacentral:rRNA from 1 species